GAGGGUGUUGCUCAGUGGUACAGUGCAUGCUUAGCAUGCAUGAGGUUCUGGGUUCAAUCCCUAGGACCUCCA
rnacentral:tRNA from 1 species